rnacentral:rRNA from 1 species
UACGGGGGGAGCAAGCGUUGUUCGGAUUCACUGGGCGUAAAGGGUGCGUAGGUGGUCGGGUAAGUUUAAGGUGAAAGCUCCGGGCUCAACCCGGAAAUGGCCUUGAAUACUAUCCGGCUCGAGGGUUGGAGGGGGGACUGGAAUUCUCGGUGUAGCAGUGAAAUGCGUAGAUAUCGAGAGGAACACCAGUGGCGAAGGCGAGUCCCUGGACAACACCUGACACUGAGGCACGAAAGCUAGGGGAGCAAACGGG